AGAUAUUGACAUUUUGGCGCUCCAUACCUUUUUGCUCAUUUUAUACUAUCCAUACCAUCGGCGCUCCAUACCUGACACGGUCAUAGCCUUCACCUGCCACAUCACACAAAAGACUUGCGACCCCGUUCUAGUUCAUGACUGUGUUCUGUUAAAAAAAUAUGCAAGGUAACCGACCUUGACUGCCUAUUGUACUCGGGUUGUAUAGCUUAUAGAAAAGUUAUACAUGUCACUACUAAAUUUAGCUUUGGAAAUUUCCAGAAAUUCUUUCGCAAUUCAGUAUUUCCGUGUCAUUUCAACAUGAUAUGUCGAUAGGUACGGAUGUCAACGCUCAACCUGCAGUCACCAGCCAAAAGAUGAUGACUACCCAUCGCAACCUGUGAAAAAGAGAUAUUGAUUGUGCAGUCUUUUGGGUUGUUGAUGGGUACGUGUCCAGAGCCAGAUGCAUGUAUCUGUUGCAUUAAAGGACUUCCAAUUGUGGGCCGGUGAUCCAAAAAACCAUGGAUGCACAAUCUGAAGCAGCCUGCCAACGGCCUGAUGACCCUACCACGAUGCAAC